ACGCGUGAGAAUCUGGCUUCAGGUCGGGGACAACCACUGGAAACGGUGGCUAAUACCGGAUAUGCCGAGAGGUGAAAGGCUUGCUGCCUGAAGAUGAGCUCGCGUCUGAUUAGCUAGUAGGUGUGGUAAAAGCGCACCUAGGCGACGAUCAGUAGCUGGUCUGAGAGGAUGAUCAGCCACACUGGGACUGAGACACGGCCCAGACUCCUACGGGAGGCAGCAGUGGGGAAUUUUCCGCAAUGGGCGAAAGCCUGACGGAGCAAUACCGCGUGAGGGAGGAAGGCUCUUGGGUUGUAAACCUCUUUUCUCAGGGAAGAAAAAAAUGACGGUACCUGAGGAAUAAGCAUCGGCUAACUCCGUGCCAGCAGCCGCGGUAAUACGGAGGAUGCAAGCGUUAUCCGGAAUGAUUGGGCGUAAAGGGUCCGCAGGUGGCUAUGUAAGUCUGCUGUUAAAGAACCUAGCUCAACUAGGUAAAAGCAGUGGAAACUACAAGGCUAGAGUGCGUUCGGGGUAGAGGGAAUUCCUGGUGUAGCGGUGAAAUGCGUAGAUAUCAGGAAGAACACCAGUGGCGAAGGCGCUCUACUAGGCCGCAACUGACACUGAGGGACGAAAGCUAGGGGAGCGAAUGGGAUUAGAUACCCC
rnacentral:rRNA from 1 species